AACUUUCAGCAACGGAUCACUUGGUUCUGGCAUCGAUGAAGAACGCAGCGAAAUGCGAUAAGUAAUGUGAAUUGCAGAAUUCAGUGCAUCAUCGAAUCUUUGAACGCACAUUGCGCCCUCUGGUAUUCCGGGGGGCAUGCCUGUUCGAGCGUCAUUACAACCCUCAAGCUCAGCUUGGUAUUGGGCCUCGCUGGUUCCGGCCGCCCUCAAAGUCAGGGGCGGUGCCAUCCGGCUUCAAGCGUAGUACCUCCCUAGCUUCUGGGAACCCGGGUGUGUGCCUGUUAGCAAUAACAACUUUCUCAAGGUUGACUUCUGAUCGAGUAGGGAUCCAAGAUGAACUUUAGCAUAUGAAGGAGCGGAGGCU
rnacentral:misc_RNA from 1 species